CCCUUAGAUGUCCUGGGCCGCACGCGCGUUACACUGAUGCAUUCAACGAGCUUAUAACCUUGGCCGAGAGGCCUGGGCAAUCUUGUUAACGUGCAUCGUGAUAGGGAUAGAUUAUUGAAAUUAUUAAUCUUGAACGAGGAAUUCCUAGUAAACGCAGAUCAUCAAUCUGCAUUGAUUACGUCCCUGCCCUUUGUACACACCGCCCGUCGCUACUACCGAUCGGAUGGUUUAGUGAGACCCUCGGACUGGUCCCGCUGUCGGACAGGCAACUGUUUGCAGCGCGUGCGCCGGGAAGAAGGUCGAACUUGACUAUCUAGAGGAAGUAAAAGUCGUAACA
rnacentral:rRNA from 1 species